CACUCGGGGAGAUGUCAAAUUAUGUUGAAGGACCUGCAUCUCUCACUGAUGCACUGAGUGAGGGACUCAGUCCAAGUUCUGACUGGAAUGCGAGAGUUGCUGCUUUUAAUUACCUCCGGUCUUUGCUGCAGCAAGGGCUUAAAAGUGAUCCAGAAUUUUGAGAAGGUAAUGAAGUUAUUUUUCCAGCACUUGGAUGAUCCCCACCAUAAAGUUGCACAAGCAGCUCUUUCAACACUUGCAGAUAUUAUUCCCUCUUGCCGAAAGCCCUUUGAGAGUUACAUGGAAAGGAUCUUACCUCAUGUUUUUUCUCGAUUAAUUGAUCCCAAGGAACUAGUUAGGCAGCCUUGCUCAACAACUCUGGAGAUUGUUGGCAAAACUUAUAGCGUUGAUACUCUCUUAGCAGCUUUGCUCCGUUCACUAGAUGAACAGCGAUCACCAAAGGCCAAAUUGGCUGUUAUUGAGUUUGCUAUCAGUUCCUUUAAUAAACAUGCGAUGAAUCCUGAAGGUUCUGGUAAUACAGGCAUUCUAAAGUUGUGGCUGGGUAAGUUGACUCCACUAGCCCAUGAUAAAAAUACUAAGCUCAAGGACGCAGCUAUUACAUGCAUUAUAUCAGUUUACUCCCACUAUGAUCCAACAGCUGUUCUUAAUUUCAUUCUUAGUUUGUCAGUUGAAGAACAGAAUUCCUUGAGACGAGCCCUUAAACAGUACACUCCCCGUGUUGAGGUGGACCUAAUGAACUUUUUUCAGAACAAGAAAGAGCGACAGCGCUCUAAGUCGUCUUAUGACCCAUCUGAUAUUGUUGGGACAUCUUCAGAGGAUGGAUAUAUUGGUGUGUCAAAGAAGAGUCAUUUCUUUGGAAAGUAUUCUGCUGGUUCCAAUGACAGUGAUGGUGGCAGGAAGUGGAGUUCUACUCAAGAAUCAGUCCUGAUCACUGGAAGUAUUGGCCAAGCAGCUUCUGAUGAAACUCAGGAGAAUUUGUAUCAGAAUUUUGAGAUAAUUCUAAUGUUGAUAUUCAUGGUUCAAAAACUAGGGAAUUGACUUUCAUGGUUAAUCCUAGCACAGAGAAUGUGGUAUCCCAGGCCAGUCAUCUUGAAAACAUGGACAACAGCAUAAAUUUUGAUGAUUUGUCUACUCAUCUGGACAUUAAUGGACUGAUGAGUUCUGAAGUCUUGGUGGAUGCUGAAGGCGUUCAGCAUGAUAAUGAGGCCUCACUUGUCUUGGACCUUAAUCAUCAAAAGCCUCCAGCUGUAAAGAUCAACUCCUUUUCAGAUUCAGGCCCUAGCAUUCCCCAAAUUCUUCAUCUGAUUUGUAAUGGUAACGAUGACAGUGCUGCUCUUGCUGCGACUAAGUGUGGUGCACUUCAGCAGUUAACUGAAGCAUCUAUUUCUAAUGAUCACUCUGUUUGGUCCAAGUACUUCAAUCAAAUUUUGACAGCUGUACUUGACGUGUUGGAUGACACGGAGUCCUCAAUCCGGGAACUUGCUCUUUCAUUGAUUGUAGAGAUGCUCAAAAACCAGAAAGAUGCCAUGGAAGAUUCUGUUGAGAUUGUGAUUGAGAAGC
rnacentral:misc_RNA from 1 species